GGGCCCGUGGCCUAGCAUGGAUAUGGCGCCGGCCUCCGGAGCCGGAGAUCCGGGGUUCAAAUCCCCGCGGGCCCG
rnacentral:tRNA from 2 species